GACGAACGCUGGCGGCGUGCUUAACACAUGCAAGUCGAACGGAAAGGCCCUGCUUUUGUGGGGUGCUCGAGUGGCGAACGGGUGAGUAACACGCGAGUAACCUGCCCUUGACUUUGUGAUAACUUCAGGAAACUGGGGCUAAUACCGGAUAGGAGCUUCUGCUGCGUGGUGGGGGUUGGAAAGUUUCGGCGGUGGGGGAUGGACUGGCGGCUUAUCGGCUUGUUGGUGGGGUAGUGGCUUACCAAGGCUUUGACGGGUAGCCGGCCUGAGAGGGUGGACGGCCACAUUGGGACUGAGAUACGGCCCAGACUCCUAUGGGAGGCAGCAGUGGGGAAUAUUGCACAAUGGGCGGAAGCCUGAUGCAGCAACGCCGCGUGCGGGAUGACGGCCUUCGGGUUGUGAACCGCUUUCGCCUGUGACGAAGCGUGAGUGACGGUAAUGGGUAAAGAAGCACCGGCUAACUACGUG
rnacentral:rRNA from 1 species